rnacentral:rRNA from 1 species
GUGCCGCAGUUAACACAAUAAGUAAUCCACCUGGGGAGUACGGCCGCAAGGCUGAAACUCAAAGGAAUUGACGGGGGCCCGCACAAGCAGUGGAGUAUGUGGUUUAAUUCGACGCAACGCGAAGAACCUUACCAGGUCUUGACAUCGAGUGCAUAGCCUAGAGAUAGGUGAAGUCCUUCGGGACACUCAGACAGGUGGUGCAUGGUUGUCGUCAGCUCGUGUCGUGAGAUGUUGGGUUAAGUCCCGCAACGAGCGCAACCCUUAUCGUUAGUUACUACGCAAGAGGACUCUAGCGAGACUGCCGUUGACAAAACGGAGGAAGGUGGGGAUGACGUCAAAUCAUCAUGCCCUUUAUGACCUGGGCUACACACGUACUACAAUGGCCGUUAACAACGGGAAGCCAAGCCGCGAGGUGGAGCGAAUCCCAUAAAAACGGUCUCAGUUCGGAUUGGAGGCUGCAACUCGCCUCCAUGAAGCCGGAAUUGCUAGUAAUCGCGGAUCAGCAUGCCGCGGUGAAUACGUUCCCGGGCCUUGUACACACCGCCCGUCACACCAUGAGAGCCGGGGGGACCCGAAGUCGGUAGUCUAACCGCAAGGAGGACGCCGCCGAAGGUAAAACUGGUGAUUGGGGUGAAGUCGUAACAAGGUAGCCGUA